rnacentral:rRNA from 1 species
AUCAUGGCCCUUACGACCAGGGCUACACACGUGCUACAAUGGCAUAUACAAAGAGAAGCGACCUCGCGAGAGCAAGCGGACCUCAUAAAGUAUGUCGUAGUCCGGAUUGGAGUCUGCAACUCGACUCCAUGAAGUCGGAAUCGCUAGUAAUCGUAGAUCAGAAUGCUACGGUGAAUACGUUCCCGGGCCUUGUACACACCGCCCGUCACACCAUGGGAGUGGGUUGCAAAAGAAGUAGGUAGCUUAACCUUCGGGAGGGCGCUUACCACUUUGUGAUUCAUGACUGGGGUGAAGUCGUAACAAGGUAACCGUAGGGGAACCUGCGGUUGGAUCACCUCCUU